rnacentral:guide_RNA from 1 species
ACAAUACAAGAAAACGAGAUGUGUAUCUAUAUGUGAGAAAUUGUAUAU